rnacentral:tRNA from 1 species
UUAAGGAAAGCCAAAGAGAGGCUUAUCACUGUUAAUGAUAGAAAUGGGGAUGACCCCUUCUUGAA